rnacentral:rRNA from 1 species
AACGAACGCUGGCGGCAGGCCUAACACAUGCAAGUCGAGCGAGGACUUCGGUUCUAGCGGCGGACGGGUGAGUAACGCGUGGGAAUGUGCCCUUCUCUACGGAAUAGCCCUGGGAAACUGGGAGUAAUACCGUAUACUCCCUAUUGGGGAAAGAUUUAUCGGAGAAGGAUCAGCCCGCGUUGGAUUAGGUAGUUGGUGGGGUAAUGGCCUACCAAGCCGACGAUCCAUAGCUGGUUUGAGAGGAUGAUCAGCCACACUGGGACUGAGACACGGCCCAGACUCCGACGGGAAGCAGCAGUGGGGAAUCUUAGACAAUGGGGGCAACCCUGAUCUAGCCAUGCCGCGUGAGUGAUGAAGGCCUUAGGGUUGUAAAGCUCUCUCAGCUGGGAAGAUAAUGACGGUACCAGCAGAAGAAGCCCCGGCUAACUCCGUG